AGCUUCAUGUCCUAGAACCGAGUCUCCUCUCUUUCGUAAAAUCGCCCCAACCAAUGAAUACUAAUUUUUUAAGUCCCAGAUGCUGCACUGGGGGAAAGGGAGAAAAAGGAAGAUUCUGGAAAGAGACCCAAGGGAGGAGGGAAAACACAGAUGAAGUCAUGAGGAUGCUACCCCACCCCACUUCAGACACAUGCCCUUAAAGAAGAGGAAGAGGCCGGAGUCAUAUGUUUGCAGCAUCUGCAUAGCAGGAAAUGGAUCCUCACGGACACCACUUGCAUCAGAGCUUUGAUGUUGUACUUCCCACGCCCUGGAACUGUGGAGAGAGAUCCCUGUUUGUCUGCAGGAGGCAACAAGCUUUCGAGCAGAAGCUGCAACUAAGGAUUGAUUAUGGAGGUGCAGACAGAAGGAGCCUGGACCUGCCGCUGGUUGCACUGGCCUUCUGGGAUUCUGCUUGCCCUUACNNNNNNNNNNNNNNNNNNNNNNNNNNNNNNNNNNNNNNUCCUCCUCCUCCUCCUCCUCCUUCUUCUUCUUCUUCUUCUGUUUUAGAUUUUUUUUUUAUGAGAAAAAUAAACACAUUUUUGGUAGGUCAGCAUCCUGUAGCUUGUAGCCAAGUACAAGCCCUGGAGACAGCAAUGGCUUUAAGUCCUUCAUGUUUCUUUAAAUGGUCUUUAAAUGUAUAGUGGCAGAAGUCUUUACUCACAACACUAAGGAACCAGAGGCAGGCAGAUCACUGUGAGUUCAAGGCCAGCUACAUAGUGAGACUGUGUCAGAGAGAGAGGGAGAGAGAGAGAGAGAGAGAGAGAGAGAGAGAGAGAGAGAGAGAGAGAGAGAGAGAGAGAGAGACACACAGAGACANNNNNNNNNNNGAGAGAGACAGAGACAGAGUUUUCUUUGAUCAGUAAGCCUGUUCCUCCCUGACAGACAAUGCCUCUGCUAGCACACAGUAAGUCUGUACUAGUGAGGAUCUCCCAUUUUACUGAUCCGUUCCUGGACAAUCAAUACAAAGAUGGAGGGUGUUAAAGCCUCUUCUCUUCCUUCCCCUCCUGCUCCUCCUCCUUAUUUUCUAUGUUGUUAUUUAUUUUUUCACAAAUACCAGGUCCCAUCCCACACUGUAUGACACAACACCGAACAAAGCAAGCAAGUCCUUGUGUGGCCCUUUGGCAGUGCAAGCCACACUUUGUUGUUCCAUAUUCAUUUUGGAGUCAGUCUGACCAAUUCUUGACAAUUCUAAUGGAAAGAAAAUUUCAUGAAGUGCUUUGCCAGACUCCAUUGUCUAGAUAACACUGUGUUCUGUUUUGUGAAAGAACAUUUGAGCUGUUUCUAGUUUGGGAAUAUUAAAACAUUAUGCUUUUGUGAAUGCUU
ensembl:lincRNA Gm26705 predicted gene, 26705